rnacentral:rRNA from 1 species
GACGAACGCUGGCGGCGUGCUUAACACAUGCAAGUCGAACGCUGAAGCCCUUCGGGGUGGAUGAGUGGCGAACGGGUGAGUAACACGUGGGUAAUCUGCCCUGCACUCUGGGAUAAGCCUUGGAAACGGGGUCUAAUACCGGAUAGGACACAUCGCCGCAUGGUGUGUGUGUGGAAAGUUCCGGCGGUGCAGGUUGAGCCCGCGGCCUAUCAGCUUGUUGGUGGGGUGAUGGCCUACCAAGGCGACGACGGGUAGCCGGCCUGAGAGGGUGACCGGCCACACUGGGACUGAGACACGGCCCAGAGUCCGACGGGAGGCAGCAGUGGGGAAUCUUGCGCAAUGGGCGAAAGCCUGACGCAGCAACGCCGCGUGGGGGAUGACGGCCUUCGGGUUGUAAACCUCUUUCGACCGGGACGAAGGAUUCGUUUGACGGUACCGGUAGAAGAAGCACCGGCUAACUACGUGCCAGCCGCCGCAGUAACAC